AACUCAGGCUAGAAAAGCUUGUCAGUUGUCAUAUCAUGUCACGCCCAGAUGACGCCCCAUGGGUGACAGGAAAAGCAGUCAAAGCUGUGGUGAUCCAGCAGCCUCGUGCAGCAUGGACAGCGAUGAUGAAAAUAUAGAAGAGGUCGUGGAAGGCCCAUUGGAUGAAGAUGGUCAGCCCUAUGGGCUCUGCACAGUAACCUACUCAUCCAGUGAUCGUUUUGAAGGACACUUCACCCACGGAGAGAAGAAUGGCAAGGGCAAGUUCUUCUUCUUUGACGGAAGUACCCUGGAGGGUUUCUAUGUAGAUGAUACCCUGCAGGGCCAGGGGGUGUAUACAUAUGAAGAUGGUGGUGUCCUCUAUGGGACGUAUGUGGAUGGUGAGCUCAACGGCCCUGCUCAGGAGUUCGAUGGAGAAGGCCACCUGGUGUUCAAGGGCCAGUACAAAGACAACAACCGCUGUGGGGAAUGCUGGGUCUACUACCCUGAUAGAGGCUGUGUGUUUGGGGAGGUGAAUGAGGACGGGGAGAUGACUGGUGAAUCUGUAGCAUACAUCUACCCUGAUGGACACACGGCUCUCUAUGGAAGCUUUGUGGACGGAGAGCUAAUCAAGGCUCGCCUUGCCACCCUGAUCUCCAACGAGAGUGGAAGGCCACGCUUCGAAAUCACACCCAACAGUAAGUACAGAUGUCAUCUCUAUGAUGGGAAAGGUGGUACUAGUUUUUAGAGGUUGUACAGGGGACCUUUUUGCAUAUGAGCUUCAGGAGCUAAUGGAUCCAUUUAGAAUUGGAAUCGGUCACAUUUGUUUUUCGAGGUGUGAAUGUUCGAUCUAGGAGUGAGUAAUAUGAAUAAAGUCUUCUAUCCCAGUGUAAUUUUAUAUUCCGAUAUAGAGAUACAUAGUGAUGGAGUACAUUUCCUGGAAAUUCAACUGAGAAACUGUUGUGAGAAAUAAUAUAAGCAAAUGGGUUUGAAACACCUAACAAAUUAAGAUACUUCAUCAUAUUGAGCGGAUACAGUGGAUCCAAUAGUGCCAUAAAUGGUCUCAUACAACCAGAGAUGUUAACGGGUUAGUUGGCACAGUAUAAAGAGUAAACAGAAGCAAAUCUCUGACAGUUGACACAUUUUGAGAAUCUUAUCGAAUAUAUCAUCAUAUUGGCCAAACCUAGUGAAGAGUCUUGACAUCCUUCUGCAGUGUGAGUUGCUGAACUUCAAACAUGUUGUGUCCAUAGCAUGUACACUACGUUUUGCUAAAAACAGUGCAAUUCUUCACUUUAGCUAGAUGUGUAAAUUUAGGUUAUAUCUCUCUCUUUCUCUCUCGCUCUCUCAAAACCUAACACAGCAGCGGCGGAUGGCUGCCCACCAUUGAGUCUGGUUCUGUCCAAGGUUUCUGCUCUCUUAAAGGAAGUUUUUCCUUGCCACUGUCGCCAAAUGCUUGCUCAUGGUGGGAUUUGUUGGGUCUCUGUAAUUAAUAUUAUAAAGAGUACGGUCUAGACCUGCUCUAUAGGAAAAGUGCAAUGAGCUUCAUAACUUCUGUUAUGAAUUGGCGCUAUAUAAAUAAAAUUGAAUUGAAUUGACAGUACCAGUGGUGGCUGGUGGGGAGGAGGACAGGAGGAAAACCAACCCACGGCCUGAUGUUAUUUUACACUAGUUGGCUACUUAUCUUUACUUUAUUAUGUUCAACAAAAAAUUAAGCAUUAAAACAAUGGCUUACAAGAUUUCUUAAAAACAACAUAAUUUAAUUCAGUCCUUUUGUUUCCAGAAUAACCAUACAGGCCUAAUGCAGAAGAUAUGAGUAUUUAUUAAGGAUGUGAGAUGUAACAAGAAGCAGGCCAGUGUUCAACAGCUAUGAGGGAAAGUGUGGUGACUGAUGAUGCCCGCUAACUGGUUAGCUGGCCUGAUUUCCAAUUUGACAAACUAAGCUUACUUCCAUUUCCAAUAUUUUAUUCCCAACGAUGCAUUAUCACAAGUACAGGUUCACCAGGGCAUGUAUAAAGUAGUGUGUGGUUUACAAAUAUACAUAUUAAUAAAUAGCUGGCAAUUAAUAACACACCAGCUCUAUUUCUAGGCUACAAAGGAAAUAUCAAAGUAAUUAUCACAACACCAAUGGUAAAUACCAUAGACUGUAUAUAAAGAUGGACGACAUGUCAGCUCCCUAAAAGUGAAGCCAAAACAUCUCUUUCGCCCCCCUGGUGGCUGGCUGCAGUAUAGGUCAUAAACCCCACCCCCUCCAUGUUAGUCAAUGGGACAUGGGCCAAACUAAAAACUCAAAGUACACGUCAAAUAAAUUUUUCCCAAAGAUGGUUUCUGUCGGUUUAGGUAGUUCUUAUCAUGCUGAUGUAUGUUCAAGUUUGGUUUUAAUUAUUAGAUAGUUAUUUGAUGCUAUAAAACAGGGUUUUCACAUCAUGAUUGACAGCUGAGCUCUGCUUGCAAUUGAGUCAGCUGGGUGUAUAAGCGGGACCUCGAUACCACUGCUCCAACUCCGAUCACUACUGCACACUCUGGCUCCGAAUGAGGUCAAAAGCACAAGAUGGCUGCUCCCGUAUCCGGGAUAUUUUGGCUUCAUUACAGUCUAUAAGGAGGAAGUGGAGACGUGUUGUCCAUCUAUGUACUGUAUACAGGCUGUGUUUCAUUAGUCUUUAAACAUGGCCUCGUUGACUUCACUUCACAAAAACUAAUGCAGCUAAUAAAGUGUUGACAUAUUGCAAUUAUCCGCAGAAGACUCCUUUGCCUCAUUGAAAUGAGUCUGCCGGUAUUUCUGAUGAUUUGUAAAAAGCAGUAUAGCACUAAGCCUACAACUGGCAGUUGAUCCAUGAUAGUUUGGGCUGCAAGUGUACAAGGGCAGGUGUGUUCCAUUUAAAUCCCCCUGCCCUUCUCCCGCUCACUUUCCCUCUGGCCUCCGUGCGAUGUAUGCUGUUACGUAAUACCAAGGGCUGAGGGGAAGUGAAUGAGGGGAAGUGGAACUACUAAUGAUCGCCAUUUUGCCAGUGCGUCACUCAACCCAACUCCCGGAUAACCAAAAAUGGGCAAAGAGGUGGAGCGUGGGUGGAGCUGAGGUGCCUGGUUGCUGAAACACGCCCACCUAGCUUGAAGUUAUCAAGCUAGCUAAGGCUAAGAAGCUAGGCUAUAUGCUACUCUGCAUUGCUAGUUGGCUAAAACCCUAUGGUAUGCAGUUGGCAGUCUAUGGUUGGUACCCAGUCAUCGUCCCAGCUUACACUUGAGGUAAGUUAACCUGAAACUAUACAACAAAUGAAAUAAUGAUUUAUCUGUUAUUGAGAUUAUACACGUGAGAUUUAAAAUGCCUGAACGUUUUUUAAAUAUACAAUUACGGUAAUUUGCAACACUAGAUUUUGUCGAGACUUGCAGAAAUUUGGCCAGUGUUACCUGAGUUAGUGUAACGGUGACUUAAUACAUGUUUAACGAACAAUUUGAAGCAAAUCAAUUAACCAGAAUUUAGAUUUCCACAUAACUUUAGUUGCAAGUCAUUUACUUGAUUUUAUAUAUAUACUUUUAAUAAGUUCACGUUAAUAAGCUAACGUUAAGUUACCUACAUGUGAUUACAUAGUCAUAAUUUUUUUUUUUUUAGCCUAUUAAGGCCAAACAAUAACUUAAAUAUAUAACAAAUAUCAAACAAGAAAUUUGAAAAUCUUCAGUUCGUUUCUCAUUGCGGAUGCGUCGGUGCAUAAUAGCUUACAGAUAGAUUGUAAUUUUUCACACCGCUAUUUUGAUUUGUGUACUGCUACCGACAGCGCUGUGUGAGAUAUGAGAUAUGAUAUGAUGAGAAAGAAAGGUGCUUUUAUAUUUGUUACAAGACGUUUGUCUUUCAGUCCUUGUUGAAAUCAUGGCCACCUGUGAUGCCUCCACCACGCCUGCUACACAUAGCAUAAACUUGUGGAUCAUUGGUGAGAGAGCUGCAUUGACCUUGGGAAGCAAACUCAGUGUGCUGCACAUCUGUGUCUGUUGGUUUGGCUUGGGUGGACUGUGGUGGAAAGGCCUUCUCCCCUUCUUUUCCCAGUCCCUGCGAGGAAGAGCAGUACCGGAUCUCCUCAUCAUCCACUGUGGUGGCAACGACAUGGGGGAGGUCAGCAGUGUCAAGCUGGUCAACAUGAUGAAGGAGGACCUGCACCAGCUUCACCUCUGGCACCCUGGAAGGCUAGUGCCAAUCCGGUGAAGCUUGACAAGGCUAGGAAAUUUGUCAACAGUGUUCUAGCUACAUUUGUUCGUAGCUGAAAUGGUGUUAUGAUUGAGCACCCUCACGUUAGACAUGACAGUCCUGGGCUAUUUUUGAAAGAUGGAGUUCAUCUCACACCUAGAGGAAAUUAUAUGUUUUUAAGUACAGUAGCUAAUUGCUGUAAAGACCACCUCCAAAUGCAGUGAACUGCUUACAGUUGGCAGUGUCACUGCUUUUGAAUUUGGCCUUUAGGACCCAUUUUGUCACACCUAAACAUAGCCCUGACUGUCAUGGCUAAUGUUAAGUUUAUUUUUUAUGUUCAUUAUGGUUAUUAAAAAAUAACAUCUGUAGCCAUAACACUGUUACCACCUCUGCUCUUCCUCAUUCCUACAAUCCCAUCCUUCAUCCUCUUUUCCCCCUACGACCCCAUGCACUCUGCUGCUCUCUGGGCAUAGCCAUUACCUCUUGCACAGGCAACAGUCUGUUGAUUUUAUUUUGAUAAAUAGGCAGUGUUGUAGUACUUGAGAUCAAGUUGGUUUCAAGACCACUUUUUGAAGGUCUCAGUCUUGCCUCGGAAUCGACCGCAUUUUUACUCAGCCUUGUCUCAGUCUCGGACAAAGAGGAUUUGGGAUUUUAUUUCGAGACUACUAUCACUAAAUUGCCUGUGCAUUGUCUGAUUUAUUUGUUAAUAUUAUUACUGUGAUUGAAUGUAAAAUUUCCUGCUUCAAAUCCAACCAAUAACUUGACUAAUUUCUAAUUUGAAAUUUUUGUACUGUUAAUGGCUGUCACCCCUCCCUGCCCCCCUUCACAAGCUAUCCAAGAAAAUGAAUGCGGGGGACAGGAGAAGAUACUGUGGCUGUCUAGGAGGAGAUGUCAGCCAAAUCUUCUGUAAUAAAAAUUGGCUACCCAAACCACAAAGAUCAUAAAUAUAAAUGUUUAAACUUUUUUGUCAAUAUGGACAUGCUCGAUCCAUUCCUCGAUUAUUUAUAUUCCUUUAGUUUGUAAAGGUCCACUGAUCAAAAGAAUCAAAAUGGUUUUUCUAAAAAUGAAUCAAAAUUUUAACUACGGUAGCCUUUGGCUUUCAUCCUUUCAAAGGUUGCUCGCUCUCUCUCUCGCUCUCUCUCUCUCUCUCUCUGUCUGUCUGUCUGUCUGUCUGUCUGUCUGUCUGUGCAUUGGAGCUAGAUCAAAUGAACGAUUCGUAAUUGAUAUGUUAUUCGAUAGCCUAAUAUUCCUGCUGGUUUAAAUAAACAAUUUGAUAGUAUUUCCCAUCUAUGCUGAGCAAAAGUUUUGUGCGAAAGGAAUUAAAGGCCUGUUCCAAAUAUAGGCAGGUUGAGUUCAGUGAUUGAAGCAAAUAAAAGCCUGGGCUAUUAAUUGAAGUUUUAAGGUAUGUACAGUAUAUACUGUAUGUUUCAUGGCGGUAGUUUCAGUUGCUUGCCAGCUAUUUGUCACAUAGCUAGGUGCGCAAGCUACCUAAUUUAUUUAACAUAUAUUGAGAGAUGUAAUGCUAGCUAAUGCAGUAUUAACGUGGUGUGGUGACAAAUUGUUGUUGUUAAGUUACAUUUUUGCUUAGUCAUAGUCUUGACUCGGUCUUGCCCUGUCUUGGUCUUGAUUUGAUCUCAACCCCUUAAAGUCUUGGUCUUGUCUUGGUCUCGAUACACUCUGGUCUUGGUCAUGACUUGGUCUUGGUUUAGGUGGUCUUGACUACAACACUGUAAAUAGGUUUACUUUUACAUUUAUAGUAUUAAAUAUUGUCCAUCUUUUUGUGUUAUGUCCUUUUUAUUAAAAAAAAACAUGGUUCACAUUUGAAUAAAUUCUAUUUAUAUUUGCA